UACGGGGGGAGCAAGCGUUGUUCGGAUUUACUGGGCGUAAAGGGCGCGUAGGCGGCACCGCAAGUCGACUGUGAAAUCUCCGGGCUUAACCCGGAAAGGUCAGCCGAUACUGCGGGGCUAGAGUGCAGAAGGGGCAACUGGAAUUCUCGGUGUAGCGGUGAAAUGCGUAGAUAUCGAGAGGAACUCCGGUGGCGAAAGCGGCCUGCUGGACCUUUUCUGACGCUGAGGCGCGAAAGCUAGGGGAGCAAACGGG
rnacentral:rRNA from 1 species